UUUAGUGUAUAUGUAUAUGCCAUAGGGCACCAGGUGUAGCAUUUAGUUCUCAGCAAAUUCCAUAUUAGCAGUUUAAUCAAUUAAAACGAGGUUGGUUGCUAUCUUGGUGAUAAAUUAUAUACAUAUAUAUAAUAUAUUCUAAACCUAAUCGCAUCAGCAAUGUGUUUUUUUUUAUCAAGGAUACAUAUCAAGUUUUGUAGGCUUCUAUCUUUUUCCUUUGACCUUCACGUUAAACCUCUUACACAUUCACAUUGUUACCCCAACCACUGGAUUUACCAAUCUCAAGUACGUCGUGCAGCAAGUGCCUACCCACGUCGUGAAAGAACUCAUCAUGCACGAGGUGGUGCUUGGGGGUGGCCAGGAUGCAUCUGCUGUUACCACAACCAUCAUCGUGCGGGGAAGUUUGAAGCCAAAUUUUAUGACAAGUUGAUGGAUGAUGGUCUGAGUUCAGUAUUAGCCUACACAGUAUCCAACUUAUGAAGAAUUGAGUAUUGGGAAGAUUAAGUUUAAAGCUUUCGAUUUGGGAGGGCAUCAGAUCGUUGUCCUAUUCUGAAAAGAUUAUUACGCGAAGGUAUAGUUUUACUAUGUUUAGCUUUUUAUGAUCUAUAGGGCUUUGUUUUUGUAAUUGAAAUGUAUGCAUAAUAUUUUCCUGCUUAGUAUUUAACAAAUUGACCUGAUGAAUUUUCAUGGAAUUAGAGGGAGAGUAUAUGAUAUGGAAUUUUUGGUAAUCUUCACUUUUGUGGAAAUAUAAAUUUCAAAAUAAAAAAAAUGAAACCCUAGGUGGGUCAUCAAUCAAUUUAUGGUACAGUUGGUCAAAGAGGUCAUUUUUUGGUAAGAUGGGUUAAGCAUGACAUUUUUUUUGGCACAAGUCAGGUUGGGUGGGAUCAUCAUUUCGUCAGCUAUGAGUAAAAACAUGGUGAAUUAGAAUAACUUCUAUUGUAUUGGUACGCAUUCUUAAAUGUUUUCUACUCUAAAGUAGCCAUUUUUGUUUGCUAUUCAUUUGCACGAUAUUGAACAAGGGAAGACUAGAAAAGGAGAAAUAUGUUUUGAUCAAGUUUCUCUCAUACCCAUGGAUGCAUACAAGGUUGUAUAAUUGUAUUCGGGUUUAUGUCAGAUAUAAAAUUGAUUAGGUUCCUUAAAAGAUUUUGGAAUUAGCUAUCGUGAAGUUGCACUUCCAAAUGAUGGAGGGCUUGAUUGGGAUGCUCACUUAAAAGCCUCACACAAAAUGUGUUUUUAGGACAAAGAUCAUGGAGUAUUCUUAACAUAAAAGUUCAUGUGUGAAUGAAAUUUCUAGAGCAAUACACAUCAUCAAGCUCCUAGCAUAUCCUCCCGGUUCGGGGCUUUCGAAUAUUAGAAAGGAAGGCAUUUAUGCUAUUUUUUUUGUUAAUGGCGUGGUGACUUUAAGUUGCUUGAAACGACAAGAAUUUUAAAGAGCGCAACACCUCACAGUUCAGAAUAAAAAAUGACAUAAAAGAACAUCCUUUUGGUAGACGUUGAAAAGAUCGAAGGUUACGGGUAGUAAUCUCGCAAACUGGAACGGGUUUGCAAGUAUUGAUUUCCAGCUAGCUGUGUUUUUUUUCUUUCUAAUGGUGUAUGCUGGAGUGGUUUGCUCAAUGAGGCAGUGGUUGUAUUUUUUUUGUUUGUAGGUGUGUAGAUGGAUGUUUGUUUGUUUUUCUUUCUUUGCGGCGUCUUUUGUUGGGCUGUUUGGCUUAGCUGCUUGCAAAGCUAAGUUUUGUUUUGGUAGUAAGAAUAAUCUUCUUUUGUUGUUAAAAAAAAUAUAUUAUCGCAACAAGCUAUGUGUUUAUGUAGGGUCA